rnacentral:rRNA from 1 species
AUCAUUAUGAUGUCAAAGGAGGAAUCCGGUAUAAGAUGGGCCCGCGUCCAAUUAGCUAGUUGGUGAGGUAACGGCUCACCAAGGCGACGAUUGGUAGCCGAACUGAGAGGUUGAUCGGCCACAUUGGGACUGAGACACGGCCCAGACUCCUACGGGAGGCAGCAGUGGGGAAUAUUGCACAAUGGGGGAAACCCUGAUGCAGCAACGCCGCGUGAAGGAUGAAGGUCUUCGGAUUGUAAACUUCUUUGAUUGGGGAAGAAGAAGUGACGGUACCCAAAAAACAAGCCACGGCUAACUACGUGCCAGCAGCCGCGGUAAUACGUAGGUGGCAAGCGUUGUCCGGAAUUACUGGGUGUAAAGGGCGUGUAGGCGGGGAUGCAAGUCAGGUGUGAAAGCCCAUGGCUCAACUGUGGGACUGCAUCUGAAACUGAAUCUCUUGAGUACUGGAGAGGGAAGUGGAAUUCCUAGUGUAGCGGUGAAAUGCGUAGAGAUUAGGAGGAACACCAGUGGCGAAGGCGGCUUCCUGGACAGUAACUGACGCUGAGGCGCGAAAGCGUGGGAGCGAACAAGAUUAGAUACCCUGGUAGUCCACGCCGUAAACGAUGGAUACUAGGUGUAGGAGGUAUCGACCCCUUCUGUGCCGGAGUUAACACAUUAAGUAUCCCACCUGGGGAAUACGACCGCAAGGUUGAAACUCAAAGGAAUUGACGGGGGCCCGCACAAGCAGUGGAGUAUGUGGUUUAAUUCGAAGCAACGCGAAGAACCUUACCAGGGCUUGACAUCCCUUGACAGCUCUAGAGAUAGAGUUUCCCUUCGGGGCAAGGAGACAGGUGGUGCAUGGUUGUCGUCAGCUCGUGUCGUGAGAUGUUGGGUUAAGUCCCGUAACGAGCGCAACCCUUAUUGUUAGUUGCCAGCAAGUAAAGUUGGGCACUCUAACGAGACUGCCGGUGAUAAAUCGGAGGAAGGUGGGGAUGACGUCAAAUCAUCAUGCCCCUUAUGUCCUGGGCUACACACGUACUACAAUGGCUGGUACAGAGGGGAGCUAAGCCGCGAGGUGGAGCCAAUCCCCAAAACCAGUCCCAGUUCGGAUUGCAGGCUGCAAUUCGCCUGCAUGAAGUGGGAAUUGCUAGUAAUGGCAGGUCAGCAUACUGCCGUGAAUACGUUCCCGGGCCUUGUACACACCGCCCGUCACACCAUGAGAGUUUGCAACACCCGAAGUCAGUAGUCUAACUUAUGAGGACACUGCCGAAGGUGGGGCGGAUGAUUAGG